UUCAUGGAGAGUUUGAUCCUGGCUCAGGACGAACGCUGGCGGCGUGCCUAAUACAUGCAAGUCGAGCGGACCGACGGGAGCUUGCUCCCUUAGGUCAGCGGCGGACGGGUGAGUAACACGUGGGUAACCUGCCUGUAAGACUGGGAUAACUCCGGGAAACCGGGGCUAAUACCGGAUGCUUGAUUGAACCGCAUGGUUUAAUUAUAAAAGGUGGCUUUUAGCUACCACUUACAGAUGGACCCGCGGCGCAUUAGCUAGUUGGUGAGGUAACGGCUCACCAAGGCAACGAUGCGUAGCCGACCUGAGAGGGUGAUCGGCCACACUGGGACUGAGACACGGCCCAGACUCCUACGGGAGGCAGCAGUAGGGAAUCUUCCGCAAUGGACGAAAGUCUGACGGAGCAACGCCGCGUGAGUGAUGAAGGUUUUCGGAUCGUAAAAC
rnacentral:rRNA from 1 species